UACAGAGGUCCCAAGCGUUGUUCGGAUUCACUGGGCGUAAAGGGUGCGUAGGCGGUCGGAUAAGUCUGAUGUGAAAUCUUCGAGCUCAACUCGGAAACUGCAUCGGAAACUAUUCGGCUAGAGGAUUGGAGGGGAGACUGGAAUUCUCGGUGUAGCAGUGAAAUGCGCAGAUAUCAGGAGGAACACCGAUGGCGAAGGCAGGUCUCUGGGCCGAUACUGACGCUGAGGAGCGAAAGCUAGGGGAGCGAACAGG
rnacentral:rRNA from 1 species